rnacentral:lncRNA from 1 species
UUCAGAAUCACCAGACGGUGCUUUCCUCGUAAGGCCAGCAGAAAAGUCUCAAUUGCUCUUUCCGGCGCACUACUCCGAGGGACACAUGAAACAAUGAAAUUAACUGUUUUCGGGAGGACCUCUACAAGUUUUAGCUUGUUGUGAUCCUUCUUUCCCACACCAUAGGUCUUGGUGGCCUUGCCCCUCUUAGCGGGGAGGAGAAUCCACCGCGGUGGCAGUUUCAACAAAUAUACCUUUGUUGGUAGGGGUUGAUGAUCGCUCUCCCUCCGCCUUUGCUGAAACCAUGGCAGAUUUAGUAGCCCCGUCCUCCCAUUUAGGGGCAGGUGGUUAUUCUACCACCAUUCCUCGAUGGUCGUGAUGCCCUCCAUCAUAAAAGUAAUGGUUUUAGCAUCAAUAAUUGAGGCUUCUUCGUGAAUGGGAAUUGAAGUGCCUUGAGAAGCCAAUAGAAUUUAUGGUAUGAAAGCAAGGGAAACGAGAAAUGAAGAAGUUGGAAGAGACAACAAUGGAGUUGCAAAAGAAAUUUCAGAGAAGAUGUUUGAGCAGAAGGUAGAGAAGACAGAGAAAAGGAUCGGGCUUAUAGAAAAAUUAUCAUGAACUUGGUAACUGUUCUGGUGUCAGAACCCAUUGAAGAUCGCCACCUGCCCGAAGCUUUAAACGGAAGUGACUGGAUGUCUUUAGAUUCAAAAACAGGGAGGAUUGUGUGAAAAAUCCCGUCCAAAAACCUUUAUAGAAUACACCAAUGAUCAUGUCAUAUUUCGAAUAGGGAGAAGCGUCUAAAAUGCCCUUCAACUUUCAUCAUAGGUUUAAAAUUGCCCUCCGUCAAUCUAUUGAGCAAAAUAUGUCUUUCGGUUAAAGUUUUCGGCUCAACAAUAGCCUUUGUUAAUU